rnacentral:misc_RNA from 1 species
AAUCACUUUAGAGCACUCAAUUUCAAGUAGAAGUAAAGACAGCUGGUUUGUAAACAAUUAAGAGUAGGAUUAACAACCCAGCUAGGUGAAUUAUGGCCCCCACCCCUUAUAUGGCCACAUUUUAUCAUCACGCAUUGUUUCCUGGCACACAAUUGCAUGUACAAGAUGAUCAUCAUAUCAACUUGUUAGUGGGCCUCUUUUUCAUGUUCAGAAGGUAAACACCAUCGGUCAGAAAAUGAAUAAAGUAUCCCAUUAUGAAAUUUGGUACUUGCCAUUUGUUCAAGGCGAAAUGAAAUUUGGGUACAAUGCGACUACCCCAAUUGUCCAAGUUCAGGUUACUGUCUGUGCUCUAUCCAAAACCAAAAGGGCAGUAAAUGGACUAAUUAUACAUCUAAAUUCUACAAACUAGGUUAUUUCAGUAAAUCGAAUUCAGAAUACAGCCUACAUGAGAUUUUAUCAUUUUGGCCAAUACACAAAAGGUCAAACAGAAAAGAAAAUGUUUCCCAUUCUAAUCUUGCGAGAAAAUAUACAUUACAUAUGAAGAUGUGAUUACGGUUACUUAACUGACCCUAUUUCUAUUCACAAGUUGGUAUAUUUCCAUGCAUUUCAAUUCUCUAUCAUGGUUUCACUGUUUUGAUAUGUGUCGAGAUUCAGACUUGGAAUCGGCAGCACGCUUUGUGUAAAAAGAACUUACGGCUGGAACUUCAACACGUGAAGCCGCCAUUGUAUUAAGAGGCUGAAAGUUUGUAUUUCCAAUAAACCAAUAGAGAGCCCAUUUCAAAUUGCAGAGAGUAUACUUGAGAGCUUUGGUCCAAUUCUCGUGCUUAUUGAAACUCUGGGUAAUAGAGUGGUUUUCCACUUUGUCAUUCUCAAUCCUGCAACAUUUAUUCACAAUUAUUAUUGGAAGCAUGCAGUAAGCCUUUAUUUUAAACAAUCCACCUUUUCUAAACAAACUGCUAAAUCCUCCUUUUCUAAACAAACUACUAAAGUAGAUUGCUAAAAGGAACGCAAAUUUCCAGGGCCUUUCCUAGUACCAUAAGAAAUAUUAAUGCAAUGGUACCUCUCAAUUAUCCACUUACUUGAGAAAAUGCUCUCUCUCCACAAGAAAGGUUUAUCAAAAACACAAGGGAACAGCCAAAUUUUCAAAGCACCAAAUGCUAUCACAAACUAACAGCAAAACUAUAAGCAAUCAAGUAAUCAUUGAGAAUUUGAAGAAUUGAGCAACUUCUCGUCAAACCUAAAAAUCCAAGCAAUUUAAAUUCCCAGCUCCAAGAUUUAUAUUUUCUGCUAGAACAUAUCAAAAAGUUUCACGCCACUUUCCACAGACAUUUACCCAAUUAUUGUUAGACCAUGAAUCAGAAAACCACAUUAAUCUUAAUAUGUUUUCUCUUUUGGCAGGCAUAAUAAAAGACAAGUCGACAAAAUUAUUUAAAGGAGAACACAGAAUAUAGCUAAUAUGAAUCUCCUCCAGGAAACAAACUUACUUGUAUGGAAGUUUGAAUCUUUUCUCAGGUGGAAUGUUGUUUUCUUGAUCCCUCAAGUAUGCAAACUCAGCAAAGU